UACGAAGGGGGCUAGCGUUGCUCGGAAUUACUGGGCGUAAAGGGCGCGUAGGCGGGUCGUUUUAGUUAGAGGUGAAAGCCCAGGGCUCAACCCUGGACAGGCGGUGGAAACUACCAAGCUGGAGUACGGUAGGGGCAGAGGGAAUUUCCGGUGGAGCGGUGAAAUGCGUAGAGAUCGGAAAAGAACACCAACGCGAAAGCACUCUGCUGGGGCCGACACUGACACUGAGAGACGAAAAGCUAGGGGGGAGC
rnacentral:rRNA from 1 species